GACGAACGCUGGCGGCGUGCUUAACACAUGCAAGUCGAACGGAAAGGCCCUGCUUUUGUGGGGUGCCCGAGUGGCGAACGGGUGAGUAACCCGUGAGUAACCUGCCCUUGACUUUGGGAUAACUUCAGGCAACUGGGGCUAAUACCGGCUAGGAGCUCCUGCUGCAUGGUGGGGGUUGGAAAGUUUCGGCGGUUGGGGAUGGACUCGCGGCUUAUCAGCUUGUUGGUGGGGUAGUGGCUUACCAAGGCUUUGACGGGUAGCCGGCCUGAGAGGGUGACCGGCCACAUUGGGACUGAGAUACGGCCCAGACUCCUACGGGAGGCAGCAGUGGGGAAUAUUGCACAGUGGGCGGAAGCCUGAUGCAGCAACGCCGCGUGCGGGAUGACGGCCUUCGGGUUGUAAACCGCUUUCGCCUGUGACGAAGCGUGAGUGACGGUAAUGGGUAAAGAAGCACCGGCUAACUACGUG
rnacentral:rRNA from 1 species